UAAAUAGGGGAGCCUCAAAUGGCUGAGAGGGUAUUUAAAUGCCGACCCAAGACCUGAACUGGGUAAUGCCAGCGGAGGGAGUUAUGGAUCA
rnacentral:ncRNA from 1 species